UGGGUUGAGACUCUGGUGCCUCUCUACCUCCUCCUCUGCAUCCUGGGGUCCCUCUCAGCCGCACCGGCCGCCCUGUCGAUGAUGGAGGUUGAAUGCUGUCUGCAACACGAUAAGAUCCACGUGCCCAAAAACAAGGUGAUCCACAUCAAGAUGUCCUCAGGGGACUGCUCAAUCAAGGCCAUCAUAAUCACAACUGAAAAGAGGAAGUUUUGCAUCGAUUCUGAAUCGACUUUUGCAAAGAGACAGUUGGCAGCAUUUCAGAAGCGACUUGGUACUACUACAACUGCUGGUACUUCACGUCCCAGAAAUGUAAUGACGUCCAGCUCCUUUGUGCUUCGUGAUGCCACGCAGAGCACAACCAUUCACCGAUGAUCACACAGAAAACCAACCAAACGUUUAUGUGCUAUUGAAAUGUAUUUUUAUAUGUCAAACAGGACAUGACUCAAUAUUCAUCACUCUGCAAAUGACUCCUGUGUUUUAAUGUAUUACUUUCAGAUGACAAGAUGUAUAAAUGCUACAAGCUGUACAAGCCCUUUCAAAAUAAAAGCUUUAUUUUUUGCAUUAAAUGUUCAGCUCUCCUUAUUUUGGAGGAACAAAGACGAAGGCAGAGCAAAACGAUGUCAUUUAAAAAAGGGAAAUGUCCACUUCGACAGGUUGAAGGUACUCGUGUAUAAUAAUGGAGUACUUUCCUUCAGUAUUUCCAUUCUUUGCUUCUUUAGGCUCAGAAAAGAGGAGGCGUAGGAUAACAGGUGCCUGUCAGUGAAUUCAUAAUGUCUCCAUUGUUUGUGGUCUGAGGGGAAGUGAUGGUGCCACCGGUGCAUCGUGUAUUCUUUUAUAAUACGGGUA